UGGGGAAUAUUGCACAAUGGGGGAAACCCUGAUGCAGCGACGCCGCGUGAACGAAGAAGGUAUUCGUAUCUUAAAGUUCUGUCCUAUGGGAAGAUAAUGACAGUACCAUAGAAGAAAGCUCCGGCUAAAUACGUGCCAGCAGCCGCGGUAAUACGUAUGGAGCGAGCGUUGUCCGGAAUUAUUGGGCGUAAAGGGUACGCAGGCGGUUUACUAAGUCGAAUGUUAAAGAUCGGGGCUCAACCCCGCAAAGCAUUGGAAACUGAUAAACUUGAGUAGUGGAGAGGAAAGUGGAAUUCCUAGUGUAGUGGUGAAAUGCGUAGAGAUCUGGAGGAAUACCGGUGGCGAAGGCGGCCCCCUGGACGAAGACUGACGCUCAGGUGCGAAAGCGUGGGGAGCAAACAGG
rnacentral:rRNA from 1 species